AGUGAACGCUGGCGGUAGGCCUAACACAUGCAAGUCGAACGGCAGCACAGGAGAGCUUGCUCUCUGGGUGGCGAGUGGCGGACGGGUGAGGAAUACAUCGGAAUCUACUCUGUCGUGGGGGAUAACGUAGGGAAACUUACGCUAAUACCGCGUACGACCUACGGGUGAAAGCAGGGGACUUUCGGGCCUUGCGCGAUUGAAUGCGCCGAUGUCGGAUUAGCUAGUUGGCGGGGUAAAGGCCCACCAAGGCGACGAUCCGUAGCUGGUCUGAGAGGAUGAUCAGCCACACUGGAACUGAGACACGGUCCAGACUCCUACGGGAGGCAGCAGUGGGGAAUAUUGGACAAUGGGCGCAAGCCUGAUCCAGCCAUACCGCGUGGGUGAAGAAGGCCUUCGGGUUGUAAAGCCCUUUUGUUGGGAAAGAAAUCCAGCUGGCUAAUACCCGGUUGGGAUGACGGUACCCAAAGAAUAAGCACCGGCUAACUUCGUGCCAGCCGCCGCAGUAA
rnacentral:rRNA from 1 species